rnacentral:tRNA from 1 species
GUGCUUUUAGCUCAGCUGGAUAGNNUAGGUCGGGGGUUCGAGUCCCUCAAGGCACGCCA